rnacentral:rRNA from 1 species
UGCCAGCCGCCGCGGUAAUACAGAGGGUGCAAGCGUUAUUCGGAAUUACUGGGCGUAAAGCGCGCGUAGGCGGAUGAUUAAGUCAGUUGUGAAAGCCCCGGGCUCAACCUGGGAACUGCAUCUGAUACUGGUCAUCUAGAGUUUAAGAGAGGGAAGUGGAAUUCCAGGUGUAGCAGUGAAAUGCGUAGAUAUCUGGAGGAACAUCAGUGGCGAAGGCGACUUCCUGGCUUAAAACUGACGCUGAGGUGCGAAAGCGUGGGUAGCGAACGGGAUUAGAUA